GAUGAACGCUGGCGGCGUGCCUAAUACAUGCAAGUCGAGCGAACGGACGAGAAGCUUGCUUUUCUGAUGUUAGCGGCGGACGGGUGAGUAACACGUGGAUAACCUACCUAUAAGACUGGGAUAACUUCGGGAAACCGGAGCUAAUACCGGAUAAUAUUUUGAACCGCAUGGUUCAAAAGUGAAAGACGGUCUUGCUGUCACUUAUAGAUGGAUCCGCGCUGCAUUAGCUAGUUGGUAAGGUAACGGCUUACCAAGGCAACGAUGCAUAGCCGACCUGAGAGGGUGAUCGGCCACACUGGAACUGAGACACGGUCCAGACUCCUACGGGAGGCAGCAGUAGGGAAUCUUCCGCAAUGGGCGAAAGCCUGACGGAGCAACGCCGCGUGAGUGAUGAAGGUCUUCGGAUCGUAAAACUCUGUUAUUAGGGAAGAACAUAUGUGUAAGUAACUGUGCACAUCUUGACGGUACCUAAUCAGAAAGCCACGGCUAACUACGUGCCAGCAGCCGCGGUAAUACGUAGGUGGCAAGCGUUAUCCGGAAUUAUUGGGCGUAAAGCGCGCGUAGGCGGUUUUUUAAGUCUGAUGUGAAAGCCCACGGCUCAACCGUGGAGGGUCAUUGGAAACUGGAAAACUUGAGUGCAGAAGAGGAAAGUGGAAUUCCAUGUGUAGCGGUGAAAUGCGCAGAGAUGUGGAGGAACACCAGUGGCGAAGGCGACUUUCUGGUCUGUAACUGACGCUGAUGUGCGAAAGCGUGGGGAUCAAACAGGAUUAGAUACCCUGGUAGUCCACGCCGUAAACGAUGAGUGCUAAGUGUUAGGGGGUUUCCGCCCCUUAGUGCUGCAGCUAACGCAUUAAGCACUCCGCCUGGGGAGUACGACCGCAAGGUUGAAACUCAAAGGAAUUGACGGGGGCCCGCACAAGCGGUGGAGCAUGUGGUUUAAUUCGAAGCAACGCGAAGAACCUUACCAAAUCUUGACAUCCUUUGACAACUCUAGAGAUAGAGCCUUCCCCUUCGGGGGACAAAGUGACAGGUGGUGCAUGGUUGUCGUCAGCUCGUGUCGUGAGAUGUUGGGUUAAGUCCCGCAACGAGCGCAACCCUUAAGCUUAGUUGCCAUCAUUAAGUUGGGCACUCUAAGUUGACUGCCGGUGACAAACCGGAAGAAGGUGGGGAUGACGUCAAAUCAUCAUGCCCCUUAUGAUUUGGGCUACACACGUGCUACAAUGGACAUACAAAAGGCAGCGAAACCGCGAGGUCAGCAAAUCCCAUAAAGUUGGUCUCAGUUCGGAUGGUAGUCUGCAACUCGACUACAUGAAGCUGGAAUCGCUAGUAAUCGAAGAUCAGCAUGCUACCGGUGAUACGUUCCCGGGUCU
rnacentral:rRNA from 1 species